UGUUAUGUGGAUUUAGACUGAGAUUCACAUUGUAGGAUUAAAUGCUUAAAUCUAGGAGAACAAUUCUGACAACCUUCCUAUCAAUACAGCAAACUCUGAAAAUAUAUAUUUUUUUUCUCUUAGUACCUCAGUUGCUGAAAACUAAUUUCACGCAUCAUCAUGGGCUGAAAAGCUAAAUGCCUGCUUUCUUUCUGCAUCCAGCUGUCAGUUCAGAGAUGUGCAGAGCAAAACUCACUCUCUCUAAGGCCCUGGAGAACUCUUCAAAACAAGAGAAGAUGUUGAUCAGUAGAAGAGAGCUGCUUCACUAAAGAAUCCCCACAUCACCUUUAGAAGCUUCAACUCAUUUGUAUAAGAAAAAAGUUGCAACUAGUUUUUUGCCUUGAGGACAGCACAUGAGGCAAGGCCAAAAUCUGUGCAGUGACUGUACUUCCAAGCAAUUGCAGAGAUGCUCCCCCCUGCAGUCCAGCUGGCUGGCCCAGAUUAGAAGAGUACGUUUCUCAGUGCUGGUGAGAAGUGCUUAAUUGAUAUUAACAUGGAUGGAAAUAGUCUGCUCUGUCAUGGGACAGACGUCAUUUGGUACACGUUCUUUCCCUCUAAUUGUAUAGUGUCCAUGCAACCUGAAAAGACCAUCUGUAGAUCUUUGAGAUUAGCGCAGGCCUGUUUAUUGUUUGGCUUUUCCAUUUCUUUCCUAACUGUCUGGAUCUGCUGUGCUAAUCGCCUUGAUAUGUGAAUGUCAAGGUUGCUUAGAUGUCCUAGCAAGCAGCAGAUAUUUAGCAUGCACUUAUUUCUAGUUCAAAGUAAGUCUAAGAACUCGCUGAACUGAACAGCCACACAAGGGGAUGACUUUCAUCAUCCAGACUGAGACAAGCUCUUUUCCGUAGUGCUGAACUCUUGCAGUCUGAACUCUACCACACAACCUGCAGAUUUUGCUCCAGCAUUUAGAGUUCAGGUUCAACAUCUUUCCUAAUGCAUCCCCCUCUCCCCGUUCAGGCGAAAACUUUGAAUCAUUGGAAUAGAACGAAGUUCAUGGAUGAUGAAAAAGGGUCAAAACAGUAGGUAUCUCCUGCAAACUGCUUUUUGAUACCUGGUAAAAUCUGGGACUACUUUUCAGUGAAAGAACAUCCUGUGCUUUAGCCUUGUCUUGUUAUACUCAUAGGAUUAGUACAGACAGAAGGUAAAGUGAAGAUGCCACUCAGAAUUGAUAGAGCAAUAACUUAUCAAUAGUAGUAUCAUCCUUUCACCAAACAGAAUAUAACGCAGAGAUGUGUCUUGUUUCUAUUAAUAUUUCAUAAACCAGCUGGUGCUACAAGAUCCAGCCAGUCCCAGUGAACUUCAUGUUAGCCUUUUUAUUAGCUUAUAAAUGUGAUAGGGUUGAUGGAUACCAUUUAAUGGAACGUUUUCUACUCUGCUUACCUCUCCCUUCCUACCCUGAAAAAUCUGACAUUCAUAAAUUGAGGAGGUCAGUAAUUUGCAUCCAGCUGAGUGGCUGUCUGGCUUUAAUGAGAUGAUUUGUAAUCAUAAGCACUGUACUGCAGUGGUGUCUGGUACAGAGGGAAGAGGAGCACGUAUGCAUACACCAGCUGAGAUGGAGGAGAGGUAACGGAAGAGAGGGAUAGGAGGAUCAGAAAACGGAAGCAAGGCUGGAAUGACAUAAAGAGCUCCAUUAAGUGUAAUACAAUAAUGCUGGACUAGUUAGCAUAAGAAGAGCCAGUAGUUGGCUGAUGCAAGCCAGUGAAACUCUCGUUACAUAGGUCAGGAAGGCUGAUUGCAGGAUUGUUCUUAUCCAGAGCUUCUUAGAGUAGCCAGAAAUAACAGGUUUGUUUUUACCAGCCUUAUACACUCAUGUCCUUAUUGCAUAGCACUAUCAUCCCUCUCCCAGUCUUUAUAUAACAGAAAUUUUCCAAACUUGGAAGACACUUCACAGGAUAAAGAGGUUAUGUGUUGCGUAGCUGGCAUGCUUCCCAUCAGCUGUAUUUUCAUAUUAUUUCCCUAAAAACAUGGAUCACGUAUGUGCGUGCUUUCUUCUGUCAUCUGAUAAAUUUUUAACCCACCAACUUUUUUACAUUCCAAUCACAAAAAACUGUGGCUAUGUCAUCAAUGAUAAAUUCCUGCAAGUCUCAGGCAGACAGGUAGGAGAGAGACAGAGACUCCACUAAUCCCUUCACUGGGGAGAAAAGAAUCCUUCAGUGAGAUAUUUUUAAUUCCCCAGAUUUGAUAAAAGCUUCAAUCGGCAUCUGUUUCAGAUCAGACAACUAUGAAUGUAACCACAGACAACCCGGCUACAUGAACUCUCCUGUACACACAACCACUUUCUCUGACUGACUGAGGAUUUUGUGCCUCCCAAAGAUUCCCUUUUUCUUGUUUCCAGGGUUUUUCUCCUCCAUAGUAGCAGUUCUCCCAGAUCAUCACAUGAUAUUUUUUCGUCAGGAAUCACAGCUGUGAAGGACUGUGUUUCCUUAACUGUGCCUCCAGCUGUCCUGAGUUAUUUCACAGCAGCCCAGCUGGGCUGGUGUAGGUUUUCUUACAGCUGCAAUGGAGUAUCUUGCAUCAGCUUUUAAGUUGUUAUUUUUUAAUUCAUUAAUUACAGUAGUUACAGCAAUGGAAAGGCAAGAGUGCAAGCUGUCUUGUCCUGCUACAGGAUCCUUCUGACUAAAAGAGACUGAAAUGAGGCACGGGCUGCUGCUUUGUCCUAACACACUGUCUCUCUGUGCAGUUUUUUGAUAGACAAUUGUUGUACAGUUCAUAGCUUGUCUAUAAGGGAUGUAUUUCCAGGACAACCUACGGUUAGGUCACUUUGGAAGGAAACAGACCUAUCAUCACAGCCCCCCUUUUUUCCUUUGCCAGUUCACAUCUUGUGACAUCCAGCUCUAGUUCACAUCACCUUUCUGAGCUAUGACCUCACAUCCCUUUCCUCACAUCCCUCUGGAGCAUGAACAUCCUUCCUUCCAAGCAAAAAUGAUCUUCUCUUUCUCCCUCUCCUGAGCUCCUUCUGUAAAACAUGCAGGCUUCAUGUGCUUCCUUCAUUGCAGAUGUUUGUGGCUGUGCAACAUAAGCCCUUCCUCCUCCCCGGGGAAACGUUACCUCUGUGUUAAGCAACAGAAAUUUAACUAGCAGAAAUGUGUGGGUGGUCUUCAGAAAUCAUGCCAGUAAACUCUUUCUUCACCACAUUUUUACUUACAACAGACAAAGAAGAAGCAACAGAGCUCUAGCCAGCAGACAAUAACAGUCUGCCUUCUGUUAAGACAGCAGGUGCCUUUACACACCCUAGGGAAAAAGCUCCCUCCAGGUAAGAGGAAUGCUCCUGAUCUCUUUUUGAGAAGGGCCCUAUCCAGGAAGCAGAUCCCCCAAGCCUCUCUCUUUCAGGCUAUGAUUCUAUUUAAUUCAAUCAGCAGGCCUGUGAGCAGACAGCCUCUGUGCAUAGCUUUUACACUGAGGGACAUGCUGCUUUGCCAGGUCCUUAAAGUUGCCUAUCUGCCAAGCUACAUAAAGAAUGAUUUGUCAGAAAAUAAUUAGUUGAGUAUAGUCUUAAUGUUAAGAACAUGAAUGAACUGCAGAUAGUAUAGAGGGUUGACAGGAAGGAAAUUCAUUCUUACUGUUUCUCUAAUGCACACUGUCUCCUCUUUGUCUAGGGAUUAUCCCACAGAUGUCACCUCCUGGCCAUCAAUGUGUUUUAGUGUAGCCAUUCACGCUAAGAGCAACCUUGAUACGUUCAUUGGUGCUGCUUUAUUGUUUUCUCAAUCAUGUUUCCUUGACUUGACUCAUCCUGUCCUUUUGAUCAAUAGCAGAUGUCACCCACCAUGAGACAUGUUUUGGACUGAUUUAAAGUGCUUGUUAGUACAAGCUUCUGAAUCGCCUUGCUGAGCUUCUUCUCUUUGAUGUUGUUGGCACUGGCUAAGGUCUUAGGUUGGGAUUUUAAAAGGAGCACAACAACUGAAGAACCCAGAACAUGGAGAGUUCUCCAGACCCUGUUGAAAAUCAGGAGUGUGAAGCAAGACUGCAAGAAAUUUACUUUCUUUCAAUUCAGUGAGCACAGAGGUGCUUUUUUCUUUUUCUUUUUCUUUUUCUUUUUCUUUUUCUUUUUCUUUUUCUUUUUCUUUUUCUUUUUCUUUUUUUUUUUUUUUUUUCCAGAGGUGCCUUUCAGAAGCUGUGUGCUUAGGCAUAUUUGGAAAUCCUAUUAGAAGCCAUUCAGCAUCUUUAUAUGCCUAAAUUCCUUUAAAACCUGACUCAGCAUACUGUGAUAUUCUUCUGUGUGUGAAAGCAGCAGCAUAAAGAGCAGGCUGUCAGUGAAUGACUGAUACUGUAUGAAUGUGUGGAAUACAAGCCAAAUCCCAAAAGAAAAAGCUCAUAUGUUACAGUCAUAUAACCCAGCCACUUGUUUCAUCAGCAGUUGUCGCAGCAAAGCUGUUAUUUCCUGGUUCAAGAGUCUUUAUCACUUCCUUAUCCGUGAUGAAUACUAUUUGAAUCCUACGAGGAGGAUUCAAAAGGCAAAUCAAAGUGUUAUUCAGAUACUGUGUAAAGUCAAGGAACGAAAAUGCUCCCAGCAGUGGCCUCUGUCUACUUGGACAUGUGGAAUGGAUAGCUGGAGUUCCUCACAUAAUUUAGGUUACAUUACCAUUUCCCUAAAAAAAAAAAUCCUCAGUCUGGAUUCAGUUUGCAUAAGUAGGAGCUUUAAAAGCUAAGUUGAAAACAUCUCAUUCCAUUCUUGCCAACAUCCAGCUGAAAGACAUUUCUGACCAUGAAUUGUAAUGGUGGAAAACAUUGGCUGAUUCCAUCAAAGUAAGAACGAGAAACAGGCAGACAGAUAGGCAAUUUCUGAGGAUAUAUAUCCUGUUUCCUGUGAUGGGCAGCUUUCUCAUUUAAAUUAUUCCACUAUAUACAUUCUCUAUUCAAGCAUGAAGUGCUCAUUACAAGUCUCAACAUAAAUAAUGUACACUUAAAAUGGUUCCCUGUGCCAUAAAUAUUGACCUUGGUUAAUAAUUGAUUAUGGGAUUAUAUAUCUACUUCUGUCAAACAGUACUGAUUGGAAGUUUUGCCUCUUCCCAUUAAGUUUCUUUACUUAUACUUCUGUAUUUUUUUUGAGAAGAUAUUAUGCUGAUGCCAUCAGUGCUUCAAAUGACACAUAGGUUUGUACAGGGGCAUAGAAUGCUUCUCUCCCCAGUUCUUGCUUGGUGUCUUCAGUCAUUUAAUUGCAAAAUAUGAAAAAGAAUCUUUUGAAUUUGUGUUAUAAUUUAAUCCACGAUUUCUCUGCAAAUGCUUGCUGUCAUCUUUCUUGUUCAUUUCUUGUGUUAACCCUAAUGUCAGAGUAUUAAGCUAUGACUAUCAUUCAUUUUGUGAGUCCGAUUCAUGAAAAGUAUUUCAAAGAGCAGACUGUGGACCAGAUUUGAUGCCUGAAAUGCUUGGAAGCCAAGACAUUCCUAGUAUAUGAAGCAUCUCAGCUUUAUGCUUGAUAAAUCUAUACUGUCUUUAUUGAGCAUUUGAAAUAUUCCAUAAAUUCGAGGAGGAAGAAAAACUGAAUGAUAGGAAAAUGAUGUCUGGCAGAGUUAAGAUUUCCAAUAUCAACUGCACUGAUUUCCAAACAGAUUGAGCCUCUGUGGUCCCUUCCUCUUUGAUCCUUAGGAUAAGAACAUGGGAAAAGUGACCUGUGUCUCGUAGUCCAACAUACUCUGUACAACUAAAAUGAGUUAUUUGCCUCGGCCUUGUAGAUAGGCUGAAAACUGCAUGCUAAGAUAAAAUGUGCUAAACAGCAAUUCUUUAAUAUUCAGAUACAAGUCAGCAGCAUUGAGGAAAAGCUUUGACUGCAGGAUUUGUGAAGAAAUUUCAUCAGAAUAUUUUGCCCUAUGAGUUCUGAUAGCACAUUCCUCUUCCGGACAUUUUGUAAAUAAGUGUCACUAAAAUUGCUCUGGCUCUUGUAGUUCCCCGUUUUUCCUUUUCCUCUGGCAAUACAGUUGCAGACAUUUGGUGUGGGAUCUGAGGCAUUGUAUGUAUUUAACUCUCUGCCUUUGUAAUUUAUAGUCCAAUGACUCUGUUUUGAAAUAGAGAUAUGGAGGUUGCUCUCCAAAAAGCAACAUCUAUUUAUGGGGACAGUGAAUACACAGUGUUAGAAGGUAACCAAAAUGUGCAGCAUUGUUUGCGAGUCCUUGAGGACCAAUAAAAAUAAUAGAACUGCAACUGUAAAUAGCUUAUUACAAGCAUUCAAUUUCUAUGCUUGGAAUUCAGGGAUCUGUCCAGGCCAUAAAAUUAAUCCUCAUUGCUUGCUGGACCUUGGAAGAAGGGUGCCUCUGCCAAAGGUCACUCAGUUCUCAGUGGUAGCAUCAGUGCUGAUUUGUUUCAGUUCCAUGCAUAAACAUUUACUGUUCUUCCUUACCAGUUGGGAUUGCUUGAAAUUGGAAUUUCAAUUUCCAAGGAUUGGAAAUAAGGGAAGAAGAAGUAACACAGCCUCUUCAUUACUAAGAAUUUUGCCUUAAGAAAAGGCCAAUAAAAGGACUAAGGCACUAAAACCAAAUAUGAGAUGGUCAAUUAAAGCAGAAUGCUGAAACAGUUUUGCCUUGGCCUAGUGUCUGAAAUAGAUGGUGAAGGAAUGAUGAAAAUUUGUGGUGAGAGUUAAAGUUAGAUAUGGGAAAAUAUGUUUUAUGUUCAACUAUAACUGUUUUUAUUUUUCACCAUGCCAAGAAUGAUUUUUGCAAUACUCUUUUCAGGGUUUAAUUUUUCUAAUUACUACGUGUUAAUCAAGAAUAUGCUGAAAUACCUAAAGGAGCCAAACUGCACAGUUUAUUUGCACAGAUUUGUGCCCAGGUUAUAAACUGCUGUAAUUCAACUUGCAUCAUUUUAAAUAUUUCAUUUUCUACUGUAUUUCUUCUUCUGAAACACAUAUCUCACAACUUAAAAACUGCUUUGUGGUCACUGGCUUAUGGGUGAGAGUUAAGGAUUGAGGCAACAAAGAGAGCCUUGUUUCUGGUGUUUACUACAGGCUGUUUGACCAAGCAAAGCCUAUUGGUGAAGCCUUCUUCCUCUAGCUACAGAAGGUAUUGUGACUGUGGGAUCUUGUCCUUCUGGGGAAAUUCAACUACCCUGACAUCUGCUGAAAAAGAAGCAUGGUGAGCUGUAGGCAAUUCAGGAUGCUCCUGGAGUGUAUCAAGGAUAACUUCCUGAGCCAGGUAAUAGGCAUCCCCACCAGGGGGAUGCAGUGCUUAACAAGCACUAGCGAACUGAUUGCUGACACCAGGAUUGGAGGCUGCCUGGGAUGUCGUGACAAUGUAAUUGUGGAGUUCACACUCUUGAGGGAUAUUGGACAGACAAAGAGUAAAAUCAGGAAGCUUAAUUUUACAAAAUCCAAUAUUCAGCUCUUUAGAGAGUUAGACAACAAACCCCGUUAGGAAUCUGUCCUCAAGGACAAGGGAGUGGGGCAGAGCUGGCACUCCCUUGUCACUUCUUUAAGGAAGUUUUCCUUAGGGCACAAGAGUUGUUCAACCCCAGAUGUAGGAAGUCAGGAAAGGAAGGUGAAAAAACAGCAUGGCUGAAGUGGGACCUACUGCUCAAACUGGAGAGCAAGAAGAAAACACACAAGCAGUGAAAGCAGGGACAGGUAACCUGGUAGGAGUAUAAGGAUGCCCCUAGACUGUGAGGAUACGGUCAAGAAUGCCAAGGUUCUACUGGAACUGGGAUUGGCAAGGGGUAAAAAAAAGAACCAGAAAGGCUUCUUGCAUGUAUAUAUCAACAAGAAAAAGCAGGGAAGAUGUAACCUCCAAGUGACAAAUACAGGCAGGCUGGUAACAAGAAGAAUGCUGAACCAAAAAAAAUUUUUUUGCUCAGUUUUCACCGGUAAUUGCUCUUCACACACCCCCCGAGUGGAUAAAUUUGACAAAGCUAAACUGCGUAGUCAUUACAUUCUACUUUUCCAACAGUGAUGCUGCUCAGUGGUACUGAGAUAUCUUAUUCCAGAACCCCAUCUUCCAAGAACAAAAACAGAGCUGUAGAUUCUCUUGAGAACCAACAUAAAGAAGAACUUCAAAGGUGGACAUGUUUCCCUCAGAGAUGAGAUUGAAGACACAGGCACAUGUGUGGUGCUCUGACAAGCAACUGGGCUGCUCUAAAACAGGCCUGUAUGCCAAAGGCCACUUCCUCUCCCGGUUGCUGGGAGUUUUGACCACUGACCUGCGCUAAAAUGGGCUGGUUUUAAUUAAAUUGUCACCUUUUUCGGUUCUCAAUCAUAAAAGGUACCAAAAAUGUAGAUAGUUGCCUAGAACUCUGUGAAGCCCAAGUGCUAGCAGCCUCCCACAGGCUUGGCCCAUAAGAGUUUGACAGUAGUGUAAUAGAUGUUUUUGUGGUCAGCCUAACCCACACUGUCUGCAUAACACCAAAGUGGAAAGUGGGUGAAAAGCUCAAGGAUACUCUCACUAGUAUAUUUUUAAACCUGUAAGUAGUAUCCGCUGCUGCUU